AGAUUGGCAAGGCUGGAGAAUUGCUUUUAGGGUAAAAAACUGACUUCCCUCCCUAAAAUUUCCCCUCAUCAAUUCAGAAAGGCAAGGCUGGAGAUUUUUCUCCUCCCUAACCCCUCGAUCAAUUAGAUUCAAUUAUUUCGGUGACAGUCUCAGGUAGGGGCCCUUGUUGUUAUGCAUACCUUCUGUGACACUGUUCGUGUGGGUGUGAAACCCUAAAUAUUCUAGAGCAGAAUCAAAGUCAUGGAAGUUCCAAGAGAACUGAUAGGACCGAGUAACUUGAUCCAGAAGAAAAUGCAAUUGAGAAGGAUGAAAUUUCAGGAGACGUAAUGGAGCCGAAGAUUGUGACGGAGUUACCCAAAUAACCCUAAGGUCAUCUCAGAGCCAGAAAAUCUAUACAGUUAUUUCCUUUUGCAAAUCCUCCAAGACUCGAACUUAGUUUAUAUUUUAAAAGCUCUAUAAGUUUUAUGAUAGUCUUAGUUCUAGACUAUAGAGAAAUAGGAAUUAGUUUUAUUCACAUUUUAUGAUUUUGUGAAGCAUUAGAAGUCUUUGAGACCCUACAUCCUUGAUGCAGUCAUAUGCACAAAACACAGGUCAUCUUUGAUAGGCUCUUACAUGAAAUGAGUGUGUAUCUUGUUAUAUGUAUAAAUUAAUUCUUUUUCACUAUGUGUAUCCAUAAUUCGAGCCACAAGCAAUUAGAACUCGCAGAACGUGUUUUAGAUCUGCCUUUUGGCACCUUAUUUUAGUGCCUAACCAUAAAUACUAGGUGGGAUGAAUUGAUAUUUUAACAAAUAGUCUCCAAGUACCUACUUAAUUAUGAGGAACAUACUGCAUAACAUGGUCAGGGUAUAAAGAGCUGAGAGUGCAUAUAGCUGGUGUAGAAGCACUUCAUCUAGUCAGUAUUUGAGAAUGAAGAUGAACUUGUAUAUCAUAGUUAUACAGAUCUUGUUAACUUGUAGACAAAUAAAUGGUAGAGAAACUCAGAUUAGGAAGUGAUAGUUCUCUUAGUAAGUGUUGCUGCUUCUGCUUUUUGCUUGGUUCUAAGUCACUCGCCUGUGCCAUUGUCAGCUCUUAUGCUCACUAUCAAAUUUAUAUCUUCCUUAAAAUUGUGCUCUGUUUUGUUGGAGAUAUGUUCCAAAUAUUGUUGUUGUCACUGUCAAUUUGGUAAUUUUGUUAGUGUAUUAGGUGAGAUUCUGUCCCAUAAUGCAUAAUUUUUUAGUCUCGUACUCUUGUUAGCUAGAUGUACUUCCAUGUUUGGGUGUCAAACUAGAGAGUUUUGUGUAAGUUAUAAGCUAUUACGUGAUUUCUACUUUUGCUAGCUAUCGUCUUGCUAUUAUUAAUUUGUAUAUAGUCAGUUCCUUCUAACGUACGUGUAAGUCUAUCAAUUGACAUGAUUAGACUAAUGGAAUGCUGCUUG